rnacentral:rRNA from 1 species
CCUACGGGAGGCAGCAGUGGGGAAUAUUGCACAAUGGGGGGAACCCUGAUGCAGCGACGCCGCGUGAGUGAAGAAGUAUUUCGGCAUGUAAAGCCCUAUCGGCAGGGAAGAAAAUGACGGUAUCUGACUAAUAAGCCCCGGCUAACUACGUGCCAGCAGCCGCGGUAAUACGUAGGGGGCAAGCGUUAUUCGGAGUUACUGGGCGGAAAGGGAGCGCAGACGGCAGUGCAAGUCUGGGGUGAAAGGCGGGGGCCCAACCCCCGGACUGCACUGGAAACUGUAAGGCUGGAGUGCAGGAGAGGUAAGCGGAAUUCCUGGUGUAGCGGUGAAAUGCGUAGAUAUUAGGAGGAACACCAGUGGCGAAGGCGGCUUACUGGACUGCAACUGACGUUGAGGCUCGAAAGCGUGGGGAGCAAACAGGAUUAGAUACCCUUGUAGUC